AUGACUUUAACUUUUUAGGCAAAACAUCAAAGAACAAUCAAGACAUUUCAAAUUUGAAGAGAAAGAAUAGUGAUACCUCAAAUCCUAACAGUGUGAAAAAUAAACAAACAAAGAAACCUAGAAUAGAUGUAAUUUCCAAUCAUGGCACAAAUCUUAUUGAAAAAAAUUGUGAAGAUUUGUUGAAGUUUACAGAAGAAGAAUUUGAGAAAAUAUUAAUCAAUACACAAAAUAUGGAUAAAGAAAUUAAAGACUUCAUUAUCAGAGGUGGACAUACAAAAUCUUUACCAAAAAUUGGAAACCCAGUUUCAGCUGUGGAAGAUUAUAGAGAUAAAACAAGAAAGUUGACUGAAGAACAACGUACAAUAUUGGCUACAUUUACAUAUGCAACUCGUACAAAGAAAUAAGUUAUAGAACACCUGAUGUAGCUAGCUUUAUACACAAUAUAAUAACAUUUGUUCUGGAAUUCAAUGAAACUGAUAUUGCAGAAGAGAGAAUACAUCUUGAAGUAGAUACAGAGAACAUAAUAAAAACAUGUUCAUCUGAUGAUGGUACAGAAAACUUAGAACCUAUUGUACCCAGUGACAUAAAGUAUCCACCAAAGUUAUCCAGGAAAGGACGACCAAAAGGCAGUGAGAAAACUGUUAUUGGUAUAACAAAGAAAUCAAA